rnacentral:snRNA from 1 species
AUACUUACCUGGCAGGGGAGAUACCAUGAUCACGAAGGUGGUUUUCCCAGGGCGAUGCUUAUCCAUUGCACAUCAUUCAUUUAUAAAUUGAACUACAUUAGAAUC